rnacentral:rRNA from 1 species
GAUGAACGCUAGCUACAGGCUUAACACAUGCAAGUCGAGGGGAAACGACAGAGGAAGCUUGCUUCCUUUGGGCGUCGACCGGCGCACGGGUGAGUAACGCGUAUCCAACCUUCCCGCAAGUAAGGGAUAACCCGUAGAAAUGCGGCCUAAUACCUUAUGUUUUCCUUAGAGGGCAUCUGAUGAGGAACAAAGAUCCGUCGCUUGCGGAUGGGGAUGCGUCUGAUUAGUUAGUCGGCGGGGUAACGGCCCACCGAGACGACGAUCAGUAGGGGUUCUGAGAGGAAAGUCCCCCACAUUGGAACUGAGACACGGUCCAAACUCCUACGGGAGGCAGCAGUGAGGAAUAUUGGUCAAUGGGCGGAAGCCUGAACCAGCCAAGUAGCGUGCAGGACGACGGCCCCUAUGGGUUGUAAACUGCUUUUAUGCGGGGAUAAAGUGGGCCACGCGUGGCCUUUUGCAGGUACCGCAUGAAUAAGGACCGGCUAAUUCCGUG